rnacentral:tRNA from 1 species
GCGGCCGUAGCUCAAUCGGUAGAGCACCAGAUUGUGGCUCUGGCUGUUGCGGGUUCAAGUCCCGUCGGUCGCCCA